GCAAGUCGAGCGGAGUGAUGGUGCUUGCACUAUCACUUAGCGGCGAACGGGUGAGUAAUGCCUAGGAAUCUGCCCAUUAGCGGGGGACAACGUGUGGAAACGCACGCUAAUACCGCAUACGCCCUACGGGGGAAAGCAGGGGACUCUUUGGAGCCUUGCACUAAUGGAUGAGCCUAGGUCGGAUUAGCUAGUUGGUGGGGUAAAGGCCUACCAAGGCGACGAUCUGUAGCGGGUCUGAGAGGAUGAUC
rnacentral:rRNA from 1 species